UUCCGGUUGAUCCUGCCGGAGAUCACUGCUAUUGGAAUCCGGCUAAGGCAUGCGAGUCGAGAGGGUACGGCCCUCGGCGGACGGCUCAGUAACACGUGGACAAUCUGCCCUUAGGUGGGGGAUAAUCUCGAGAAAUUGAGCAUAAUACCCCAUAGUCCUAGAUUGCUGGAAUGCUUCUAGAAUAAAAGCCCCGGCGCCUAAGGAUGAGUCUGCGGCCUAUCAGGUUGUAGUGAGUGUAACGGACUCACUAGCCGACGACGGGUACGGGUCCUGGAAGGGAGCGCCCGGAGAUGGACUCUGAGACACGAGUCCAGGCCCUACGGGGCGCAGCAGCUACGAAAACUUCACAAUGCGGGAAACCGCGAUGAGGGGAUUCCAAGUGCUAAUACUUUGUAUUAGCUGUUUACUUGCCUAAAAAGCAGGUAGAGUAAGGGCUGGGUAAGACUGGUGCCAGCCGCCGCGGUAAUACCUGCAGCUCAAGUGGUGGCCGCUAUUAUUGGGCCUAAAACGUCCGUAGCCGGUUUAGUAAAUGCUUGGGUAAAUUGUGUAGCUUAACUAUACGAAUACCGGGUAGACUGCUAAACUUGGGACCGGGAGAGGCUAGAGGUACUCCUAGGGUAGAGGUGAAAUUCUGUAAUCCUAGGGGGACCACCAGUGGCGAAGGCGUCUAGCUAGAACGGGUCUGACGGUGAGGGACGAAGCCCUGGGGCGCAAACCGGAUUAGAUACCCGGGUAGUCCAGGGUGUAAACGCUGCUUGCUUGAUGUUAGUUGGACUCCGAGCCCAACUAGUGUCGGAGAGAAGUUGUUAAGCAAGCUGCCUGGGAAGUACGGUCGCAAGACUGAAACUUAAAGGAAUUGGCGGGGGAGCCACAGCAACGGGUGGAGCGUGCGGUUUAA
rnacentral:rRNA from 1 species